rnacentral:rRNA from 1 species
UGCCAGCAGCCGCGGUAAUACGGAGGGGGCUAGCGUUGUUCGGAAUAUACUGGGCUUAAAGGGUGCGUAGGUGGUAGGGCAAGUUUGAUGUGAAAGCUCCGAGCCCAACUCGGAAAAUGCAUUGAAAACUGCCCAACUAGAGGAUUGGAGGGGGAACUGGAAUUCUCGGUGUAGCGGUGAAAUGCGUAGAUAUCGAGAGGAACACCAGUGGCGAAGGCGAGUUCUUGGACAAAUCCUGACACUGAGGCACGAAAGCUAGGGUAGCAAACAGGAUUAGAUA